GGGUCCUUACGCUGCAGGGGAGGAAGCCCUACAAUGACUGACAGCUCAGGGAAUCGAGGGCCACCUGGACACUGGUCUGCCCUCAGGGGGAGGCGCGGCCCAGGAGAUGAGGCAAAAGCCCUGUGAUCCUGAGGGUCUGGCGCCUGCCAGGAACUAAGAUGGCCACCAAGACCGCGCGUGCGCACCGCAUCAAACACAUUUGGCGUAGACUCGUUCGUUCUCCCAGCGCCGCCUGCUCCACUCCUUCCUUCCGUCUCCCCUCCCCCCUUCCCAGAGACGCGAUGUUUUGAGGGUCCUGAGAGAGGAGUCCGAGCUGACCGGUCAUCGUACACUUCUCUGUAUUACUUUAGGCUUUACAAAGCUGCUUCUUCGCCACGACUUUAGGAGGCAGGCAGGGCAGGCAUCUUCCUACCCAUUUUGCAGAUGAGGGAAUUGAGACGCAGAGGGGGGCUGCAGGGGAGCCGUCUGAAUUCUAGGAUUGGGAUGUGCCUAGGAUUACUUAGAUACAUGGGGAGUGGGGCAGCGGCGGGAGGGAAGAGCCCUUGGCUGGAGCGGAGGAACAGAUGGACAGAAGAAGCCGAAGGAACAACAUCUCAUGCACAAUCUCAAGUUUAUUGGUGCUCAGAUUCAUGCAGCAUCCUCCAUACAAAAUGGAUAAACAGAUAAUUUUGCUGUUUUUUUUUUUUUUAAGAUAAGUGGGGUUUUUCUUCCCACGCUUUUUUUUUUUUUUUUUUUGAGAAAAAUCUACCAACUGGACUGGGUAGCUCCCUACCCCCACCCCCACCCUCUUGCCCCGCCUCGUGCGGCAAAGUCGCCCUAGUCCCCUUAAAAAAAACCCCACGAGGACACGCCCCUUACAAGCCCAGGCUUCCAGCUCAGUCGCUGGGCAUUUGGUCCGAUUUUUUUGCUUUUUUUUUUUUUUCUUACAAAGCACGUGAAUGGCACAACCCUCCCCCUAUAAAUAAACGAAUACAUAAAUAAA